CUAAGAAUCUUGCGCAAUGGGCGAAAGCCUGACGCAGCAACACCGCGUGAGGGAUGAAGGCCUUCGGGUUGUAAACCUCUUUUACGAGGGAAGAAGUUUUGACGGUACCUCGUGAAUAAGCAACGGCUAACUACGUGCCAGCAGCCGCGGUAAUACGUAGGUUGCAAGCGUUGUCCGGAUUUACUGGGCGUAAAGGGCCCGCAGGCGGCUUGGCAAGUUUUGGGUGAAAUCUCGCGGCUUAACCGAGAGAGGUCUCAGAAAACUGCCAGGCUUGAAGCAGUGAGGGGGAUGCAGAAUUCCCGGUGUAGCGGUGGAAUGCGUAGAUAUCGGGAGGAAUACCAGAGGCGAAGGCGGCAUCCUGGCACUGACUUGACGCUGAGGGGCGAAAGCGUGGGGAGCGAACCGG
rnacentral:rRNA from 1 species